rnacentral:tRNA from 1 species
GCCGGAGUAGCUCAGAUGGUUAGAGCGCUUGGCUGUGGACCAAGAGGUCGCCGGUUCGACCCCGGCCUCCGGUACCA